UACACUCCUACGGGAGGCAGCAGUGGGGAAUUUUGGACAAUGGGCGAAAGCCUGAUCCAGCAAUGCCGCGUGAGUGAAGAAGGCCUUCGGGUUGUAAAGCUCUUUUGUCAGGGAAGAAACGGUGAAAGCUAAUAUCUUUUGCUAAUGACGGUACCUGAAGAAUAAGCACCGGCUAACUACGUGCCAGCAGCCGCGGUAAUACGUAGGGUGCAAGCGUUAAUCGGAAUUACUGGGCGUAAAGCGUGCGCAGGCGGUUUUGUAAGUCUGAUGUGAAAUCCCCGGGCUCAACCUGGGAAUUGCAUUGGAGACUGCAAGGCUAGAAUCUGGCAGAGGGGGGUAGAAUUCCACGUGUAGCAGUGAAAUGCGUAGAUAUGUGGAGGAACACCGAUGGCGAAGGCAGCCCCCUGGGUCAAGAUUGACGCUCAUGCACGAAAGCGUGGGGAGCAAACAGGAUUAGAUACCCCAGUAGUCCC
rnacentral:rRNA from 1 species